rnacentral:rRNA from 1 species
GAGUUUGAUCGUGGCUCAGGAUGAACGCUAGCUACAGGCCUAACACAUGCAAGUCGAGGGGCAUCGGGAGGGAAGCUUGCUUCCCUUGCCGGCGACCGGCGCACGGGUGAGUAACGCGUAUCGAACCUGCCCCAUACCCGGGGAUAGCCUUGCGAAAGUAAGAUUAAUACCCGAUGGUUUCCUUUUAUCUCCUGAUAGAGGGAAUAAAGAAUUUCGGUAUGGGAUGGCGAUGCGUCCGAUUAGCUAGUUGGCGGGGUAACGCCCACCAAGGCGACGAUCGGUAGGGGUUCUGAGAGGAAGGUCCCCCACAUUGGAACUGAGACACGGUCCAAACUCCUACGGGAGGCAGCAGUGAGGAAUAUUGGUCAAUGGGCGGAAGCCUGAACCAGCCAAGUAGCGUGAAGGAUGACUGCCCUAU